rnacentral:tRNA from 1 species
GCGGGUGCAGCUCGGUGGCCGAGCAGCAGUUUCCAAACUGAAGGUGCAGGUUCGAUUCCUGCCAUCCGCUCCA